CGAGUGGCGAACGGGUGAGUAACACGUGGGUGAUCUGCCCUGCACUUCGGGAUAAGCUUGGGAAACUGGGUCUAAUACCGGAUAGGAGCCAUCUUUAGUGUGGUGGUUGGAAAGUUUUUCGGUGUAGGAUGAGCUCGCGGCCUAUCAGCUUGUUGGUGGGGUGAUGGCCUACCAAGGCGACGACGGGUAGCCGGCCUGAGAGGGUGAUCGGCCACAUUGGGACUGAGAUACGGCCCAG
rnacentral:rRNA from 1 species